rnacentral:misc_RNA from 1 species
CAUGAAGAACGUAGCGAAAUGCGAUACUUGGUGUGAAUUGCAGAAUCCCGUGAACCAUCGAGUCUUUGAACGCAAGUUGCGCCCGAAGCCAUUAGGCCGAGGGCACGCCUGCCUGGGCGUCACACGUCGUUGCCCCCCCCAUCUACUCCUUCGGGAUUGCGGGGGGCGGAUGAUGGCCUCCCGUGCGCCUCGCCGCGCGGUUGGCAUAAAUGCCAAGUCCUCGGCGACGCACGCCACGACAAUCGGUGGUUGCGAAACCUCGGUUGCCCGUCGUGUGCGGUCGUCGCGCAUCGAGGGCUCGAAAAAAUUGCCGAGUUCCGGCUCGGCUUUCAACGCGACCCCAGGUCAGGCGGGGUUACCCGCUGAAUUUAAGCAUAUCAAUAAGCGGAGGA